GGAACGGGUGAGUAGCACGUGAGCAACUGCCCCGAAGACUGGGACAACACCGGGAAACCGGUGCUAAUACCGGAUAUCCCUAUCGGACCGCAUGAUCUGAUAAGGAAAUGGAUUCCGCUUCGGGAGGGGCUCGCGGCCUAUCAGCUAGUUGGUGAGGUAAUAGCUCACCAAGGCAUCGACGGGUAGCUGGUCUGAGAGGACGAUCAGCCACACUGGGACUGAGACACGGCCCAGACUCCUACGGGAGGCAGCAGUGGGGAAUCUUGCGCAAUGGGCGAAAGCCUGACGCAGCAACGCCGCGUGGAGGACGAAGGCUUUCUGAGUUGUAAACUCCUUUCAGCAGGGACCGAUUGUGACGGUACCUGCAGAAGAAGCACCGGCCAACUACGUGCCAGCAGCCCGCGGUGAUACGUAGGGUGCAAGCCGUUGUCCGGAUUUAUUGGGCGUAAAGAGCUCGUAGGCGGUUUGAUUAGUCGGGUGUGAAACCUCCAGGCUUAACCUGGAGCCGCCACUCGAUACUGUCAUGACUAAGAAUUCGGUAGG
rnacentral:rRNA from 1 species